rnacentral:rRNA from 1 species
GUAAAAUUGAGAGGCUCAACCUCUUCGAGCCGUUGAAACUGGUUUUCUUGAGUGAGCGAGAAGUAUGCGGAAUGCGUGGUGUAGCGGUGAAAUGCAUAGAUAUCACGCAGAACUCCGAUUGCGAAGGCAGCAUACCGGCGCUCAACUGACGCUCAUGCACGAAAGUGUGGGUAUCGAACAGGAUUAGAUACCCUGGUAGUCCACACAGUAAACGAUGAAUACUAAUUGUUCGGGGAGAAUGAUCCCUGAGUGAUACAGCGAAAGCGUUAAGUAUUCCACCUGGGGAGUACGCCGGCAACGGUGAAACUCAAAGGAAUUGACGGGGGCCCGCACAAGCGGAGGAACAUGUGGUUUAAUUCGAUGAUACGCGAGGAACCUUACCCGGGCUCAAACGACACAGGAAUACUUUUGAAAGGAAGUAGCUCUACGGAGCCUGUGUCGAGGUGCUGCAUGGUUGUCGUCAGCUCGUGCCGUGAGGUGUCGGCUUAAGUGCCAUAACGAGCGCAACCCCCAUCGCCAGUUACCAGCAAGUCAAGUUGGGGACUCUGGCGAGACUGCCGGCGCAAGCUGUGAGGAAGGCGGGGAUGACGUCAAAUCAGCACGGCCCUUACGUCCGGGGCGACACACGUGUUACAAUGGCAGGUACAGAGAGAAGCAAUGCGGCGACGCAAAGCGGAACUUGAAAGCCUGUCCCAGUUCGGAUUGGAGUCUGCAACUCGACUCCAUGAAGCUGGAUUCGCUAGUAAUCGCGCAUCAGCCAUGGCGCGGUGAAUACGUUCCCGGGCCUUGUACACACCGCCCGUCAAGCCAUGGAAGCCGGGAGUGCCUGAAGUGUGCAACCGCAAGGAGCGCCCUAAGGUAAAACUGGUGACUGGGGCUAAGUCGUAACAAGGUAACCGUAA